rnacentral:lncRNA from 1 species
AUUUCAAAAUUACCAGGUAGUGGUCCUCAUGGCCUGUUCUGUGGCUGAAUGGAAAGGUUUGGCCUUGGGGGUGAGGGAUGCAGUCUAUUGGGAAAGCCACUAUUUUCAGUUUUAUUUUUGGCUCCUCUACAGAAUACAGAGUGUGUAAGGAUCCCGUUGAUACGGUGAAAUAAAAUAAGAAAGCUCUGAGUCGGAACUCCAGUUUUCGUGCUUAGCAACAUUUUCUCAAAAUCUGUGGUGAUAGCUGGAAUGGCCUUAGUCAUGAGGCUUUUAGACUUGUUUCAAGGCGGGAUUAUGCAUCAGAAGCAAUCAAGGGAGCAGUUGUUGGUAUUGAUUUGGGUACUACCAACUCCUGCGUGGCAGUUAUGGAAGGUAAACAAGCAAAGGUGCUGGAGAAUGCCGAAGGUGCCAGAACCACCCCUUCAGUUGUGGCCUUUACAGCAGAUGGUGAGCGACUUGUUGGAAUGCCGGCCAAGCGACAGGCUGUCACCAACCCAAACAAUACAUUUUAUGCUACCAAGCGUCUCAUUGGCCGGCGAUAUGAUGAUCCU